rnacentral:rRNA from 1 species
GACGAACGCUGGCGGCGUGCCUAAUACAUGCAAGUCGAACGCACUCUCGUUAGAUUGAAGAAGCUUGCUUCUGAUUGAUAACAUUUGAGUGAGUGGCGGACGGGUGAGUAACACGUGGGUAACCUGCCCUAAAGUGGGGGAUAACACUUGGAAACAGAUGCUAAUACCGCAUAAAACCUAGCACCGCAUGGUGCAAGGUUGAAAGAUGGUUUCGGCUAUCACUUUAGGAUGGACCCGCGGUGCAUUAGUUAGUUGGUGAGGUAAAGGCUCACCAAGACCGUGAUGCAUAGCCGACCUGAGAGGGUAAUCGGCCACACUGGGACUGAGACACGGCCCAGACUCCUACGGGAGGCAGCAGUAGGGAAUCUUCCACAAUGGACGAAAGUCUGAUGGAGCAACGCCGCGUGAGUGAAGAAGGUUUUCGGAUCGUAAAACUCUAGUUGUUGGUAGAAGAACGUAUUUGAUAGUAACUGAUCAGGUAGUGACGGUAU